GAUGAACGCUGGCGGCGUGCCUAAUACAUGCAAGUAGAACGCUGAAGCUUGGUGCUUGCACCGAGCGGAUGAGUUGCGAACGGGUGAGUAACGCGUAGGUAACCUGCCUCUUAGCGGGGGAUAACUAUUGGAAACGAUAGCUAAUACCGCAUAAAAGUCGAUAUCGCAUGAUAUUGAUUUGAAAGGUGCAAAUGCAUCACUAAGAGGUGGACCUGCGUUGUAUUAGCUAGUUGGUGAGGUAACGGCUCACCAAGGCGACGAUACAUAGCCGACCUGAGAGGGUGAUCGGCCACACUGGGACUGAGACACGGCCCAGACUCCUACGGGAGGCAGCAGUAGGGAAUCUUCGGCAAUAGGGGCAACCCUGACCGAGCAACGCCGCGUGAGUGAAGAAGGUUUUCGGAUCGUAAAGCUCUGUUGUAAGAGAAGAACGAGUGUGAGAGUGGAAAGUUCACACUGUGACGGUAACUUACCAGAAAGGGACGGCUAACUACGUG
rnacentral:rRNA from 1 species